ACUCCAUCAGUUAUAACACCACGUUAUAUAUUCGUUUGUAAUAUCAAUGCCUACUUCCGCGUUUACUAUAUUCGUGUCCCCCCCCCCCACCCGUUAGAAGAUAGUCACGUUUUAUAAGCUCGUCAGAUAAUAUCUCCUUCUUUCUAUUUCCUAUUUAUCUUUAAAUUGUCAUGAUUUUUUUACCAUUACUACCGAUCAUACCAAGAAACAAUAAAGAAAAUAUUCAACUUUCGUGACGAAAGUCCCUUAAAAUCCGAUUGAACAUUCGAAAAAUUUCUUUAGAAAAAAAAGAAAAAAGAAAAAAUACAAAAACAAUAUUUGCACAAUAUUUGUUUUUCCUUUUCUAUUCUUCAUAGACACGCUCGCCAUUAAAUUCGAACUCAAUGCAUUUCGAACACGCAAACAACUAGUUCAAGCUGAGCGACGUCGAGUGACACCGGACGCGUGUGUGACUAGUACAUACCUACCUACCUCCUACUACCUACAUACCACCCAAAAUCAUUGAUCGGUUUGCUCGCACGGAAAUUCGAACAAAAGGGAACUUUUUCGUGUUUCAAAUUUCCACUCUCGUAGUUUCAACUCGUAUUUUAAGACACGAUUGCACGUAGAUAAAGAAAAAAGAAAGAACGUAAUUUCAAAUCCUUUAACUUCCGUUAAUAAUUCUUCUAAAUAUUAUUAUAAAUAUCGUCUAAUAUGCCUAUAAAUGAUUCAGAUAUUUCAAUGAUAAUUUUCCUUCAAGAGGAUUAUCAAUUAUUUUCACGUUCUUCCGUCGCUACCGGUGGCUCAUUUUGAAAGCACUAAUUAGAGUAUCUAAAAUGCGUUAGUGGUUACCUUCCUCAUAUCAUUCUUUCCUCUUUUUUCAUUUAUAAACAUCUAAAAAGAGAGAAUGCUCUAGAAAAGUAAAGAGAAGAAAGAGAGAGAGAGAGACAAACACAGAUCUACCCUUAACUAAAUUCAGAGAAAUAAUAAAUUUCGUGUGUAUAAAGUAGCAAGGUAAUUUUAACGAAUCCAAUAAGAUAAUUCAAACAUAUCGAUAUCUUCACGAUUAUCACAUCGAACGUUGAUUGAUUUCGACGUGUUCUCGAACGAGCGAGGAUCGUCAUUAACCCCAUCCUUCGAGCGUGAAGCUUCGAAUCGAACUCCACUUGGAAGCAUAGAAGUACUUAGCUAUAUCGGCUCUCUUGAAGCUGCCAAGUCUCUCUCUCUCUCUGUCUCUUUUUCUCUUCUACGCAUGUACACUCUACUUAUAUAUAUACAUAUAUAUAUACACACACACGCGUGCGCGCGUGUGCACGGAAAUGAUUGCGUUCCUCGUCGCUCGCAGAUGCACACACACCGAAGGUUCACCUUCCCUUUAUGCUCGAUAAUCUAAAGUGCCAAACAGAGCGGUGCGUAUUUCGACCCUGCAAACACGAAACAUCCGAUGCAAUCUGUGCGCUUCUACGUUCGCUUGGAACGUAAUGGCAGUAACAGCAACAGCACCAGUAGCAUCAGCAACAGCAGCAACAGCAACAGCAAUAGCACCAGUAGCAAUCACAUUGCCCACAGCAGUUGCACUUGCAACACAGCAAGACGACGACUGCUGCUGCCACAUCAACGACGAAGAUGACGACGCUGCAGGUACAUCCUCCUCCUCCUCCUCCUCUUCCUCCUCCUACUUCUCUUGGCGCACGUCGCGAGAGCGCAAGACGAUCGAUAUGCACGCACCAUGCGAAACCUGUAGACGAGAAAGGGCAAAACCAGCCCCGGCAUGAGUUUUCCAGUAACGUAUCGCAGGAAAGGUGAACGAAGUGACACGGAAGUAUCUUAUAGGGUGUGUAAGAAACGACGAGUUAAGAGUACAACGAAGAGAAUAAAAAAAAUAAAAAAAGAAAAAUACGAGCCGAAUACGAGUAAAAACGAGACAAGCAGUCAAGGCCAGCUUCACAUUUCGUAGUGAACGAAACAUACCCCCUGGCUAUGCAUCACCCUGUCCUAAAGAUACCCCCUUACUGACAAUGGUCCACGUUUCUCUCUCUCUCUCUCUCUCUCUCUCUCUCUCUCUCUCUCUCUCUCUCUCUCUCUCUCUCUCUCUCUCUCUCUCUCUCUCUCUCCCUGUAUUGUACUAUACUCAUGUAAAUCUCUCUACACAAUCUUCUCCUUUUUCCUUCACUUGUCAUUUUAUUUUCUUCCAUUCUAUUCUUUUCUCCCUUUUUUUCUUCAUCAUUUUAUCAUUCUCAUACUACCGUGCCAAAAUAAAUUAUGUUUUUGAUACAUCUUAGUCACGGACCGAAUGGUGUUCAAAUUAUUUUGAAAGAAUUCGUUUUUUCUUAACAACAAAAUAUUCGAUUCCCAUAAUUGAUCGUAACAGAGAAUAGUGAUCGUUAAAUCUGAAAGAAAUUUGCUAAAAAAACAAGAAAAAGAAAGAAACAUACAAAAAAAAUGGAGAUCUUGUUUUCACAAAAACUAAUAUAUUUUCAACUUCCCUUUUUUUUGCGAAGGAAAAGAAUCGUAAAUAUAUUCAUUGUUAUGUAAUAAUGCAUACGUUACAAUUUCCGUCCCGAUAUUUAGUCGAAUUUGUAAUCGAAUGAAAUAGAAAGAGUGAAGAGAAGGAAAAGAAAGAAAAGGAGAAAGAAGGAGGACGCAGAAAAAAAAUAAAAGAAAAAAAGAAAAAAAAAAAAGAAAAAAGUAAAAUGAAAAAAAAAGAGAUGGAUAUUUUCUCGCCGUAAGAAUACGCCGGAGCUCGGGCAAAAGGGAGAAAAUUUUCUCCGGGCAGAAGAUAAGAGCUUUACAUUCCGCGUUACGGGCAGGACGGAUGAGCGAUGGUACGAUUUCUCUUACCGCAGAAAUAUUCCACUUGCCUAGGAAUAUUGGUACACCAAUGAUAUUUUUCAGCUUCUGUAAAAGGGGCCAAAAGGGGAUAGGGAAACGACGAUGAUAGUAGCUUUCGAAGCGUCUGACAAAACGUGCCACGUUGCCUCAAGUUAUGGGAUCGUUUUAAAAAAAAAAAAACCGAUUAACCGACUGAACUCUCUAGAUCAAAGCUUUUUUUUCUGAUCAACAUGCCAAAAAAAAUAGAUUAAAUACUUUGCAGUGGCAACGAAGUUUACUUAUUUCGUAAGACCUAUUUUUUACAAUAAAGAAAAAAAGAGAAAAAAAAAGAAAAGAAAAUAACGAUUCAUUCAUUACUGUAAUGAUAAGUAAAUGAAAGCUGCGUUGAUUUAUAACUUCUUAAAAGAAAUCAAAGUCGACUAAGUAAAUGUUUAAAAAAUAAAACACAAUUUUCAUUGAAUAGAUACUUCUUGAUUUUCGUCUUUAGUUCACUCGCAUAUUUUGAAGUUCUUCCAUUCGAAAUUAUCUCGUAGCGAAAUUCCAAUUUCCCUCUCUCUCUCUCUCUCUCUCUCUCUCUCUCUCUCUCUCUCUCUCUAUUUUUCACUCUCUCUCUCUCUCUCUCUCUCUCUCUCUCGCAUUUGCUCGAUGGCUUUUAAGUUUAAUAUAGUCGCGUGCGUCGAACUUUCCGUAACUCGUUACCAUAAUCGCGUUGAAUCUGACGCGAGCGACGUGCGAAACUCUUCCGGCCGAUUGCCCGCGGAGAGAGCUGCCGGAGUCUCUCUCUCUCUCAAUUUCUCUCCCCUCUCUUUUUCUCUUGUCCUUUUGAAAACGACGAAUCAUAAUUAUAGUCAUAACAUCUUCUAACAUCUUCUAACAUCUUCUAACAUCUUCUAAUAUCAUCUCAUUUUAAAAUUGUAAUCUCGAAGCACGUAAGAUCGUCGACUUCAUGGAAUUUUUCGGUUUUGCAAGAAAGACUGACUAUUGAUCGAUUCAUAUGAAAAUAAUAUUUUCAAAAUUCUCUAAGAAUAUCCCUUUCUUUCUCUCUCUCUCUCUCCCUCUCUCUUUCAAUUUUGAAAAAGCAUUGAGAAAAUAAUACGUCUCAUCGAAUUAGCGUCUAAUCCCUUUUAUGCAUCAAACUUGUCGCUAGUUCGUUCUUGUAAAGUCGAAAGGAUAAGAAACGAGAAAAAUGUAGUAUUUAAAAUCUCUCGUAGAUCAAGAAAAAGAAAGAGAGAAAAAAAAUUGCUCAAUAUAUAAUAUAUGUAUCUAUACGUUUUUAUGUACACGCACAUGCACGUACACCCCCCACACAUACACAUAUAUAUAUGUAUGUAUCUAUGUAUACAUAUAUAUGUAUGUAUAUAUGUAUACAUAUAUAUGUAUGUAUAUAUGUAUAUAGUUAGAUACAUACCUAUUCAUAUGCAUACGCGUGUAGACUCUCGGUUACUAUCUCGUUGCUGCAUUUACGAGAAAUCAACGUUGGAAGUAGCUCGUAGAAUAUCUAAGCGAGUAUAUCCAGCAUCGCAUCACUUAGGCGAGCCAGACACAGUCUCAGCAAUUGAUAGGUAGUCACGCUAGGCUGACCUCAAGGGACAUCGGUUCGUAUAGAGUUCUCUCUCUCUCUCUCUCGUUCUCUCUUCCACCUUUCUCAGCCCCUUUCCCCGUAUUCGUCUUCUCCGUAAAAUCUACUCUCAGACCAAGCCUUCGUAGCUUCCGCCUCGUAUCUUUCGUCUCCUUCGUUCACCUUCAUCCUUUUCUCUCUGUCUCUCUUUCUCUCUCUCUAUCUCUAUCUCUCUUUCUUUCUUUAUGCUUCUAUCUCGGCCUCUUCCACCGUCUCGCUCAUGCUUUUCACUCUCUCUCUCUCUCUCUCUCUCUCUCUCUCUCACUCUCUCUCUCUCUCUCUCUCUCUCUCUCU